GAGGGCAUAGCUCAACUGGUAGAGUGCAUGCUUAGCAUGCACAAGGUCCUGGGUUCAAUCCCCAGUACCUCCU
rfam:Camelus ferus unplaced genomic scaffold scaffold2421, whole genome shotgun sequence.